rnacentral:rRNA from 1 species
CGUGAGGGAGGAGGCUCUUGGGUCGUAAACCUCUUUUCUCAGGGAAGAAACAAUGACGGUACCUGAGGAAUAAGCAUCGGCUAACUCCGUGCCAGCAGCCGCGGUAAUACGGAGGAUGCAAGCGUUAUCCGGAAUGAUUGGGCGUAAAGCGUCCGCAGGUGGCAAUGUAAGUCUGCUGUUAAAGAGUCUAGCUCAACUAGAUAAGAGCAGUGGAAACUACAUAGCUAGAGUACGUUCGGGGCAGAGGGAAUUCCUGGUGUAGCGGUGAAAUGCGUAGAGAUCAGGAAGAACACCAGUGGCGAAGGCGCUCUGCUAGGCCGUAACUGACACUGAGGGACGAAAGCUAGGGGAGCGAAUGGGAUUAGAUACCCCCCGUAAACGAUGGAUACUAGGCGUG